GUGCAUGGAAUAAUGGAACAGGACCUUGGUUCUAUUUUGUUGGUUUCCGGAAUCCAAGGUAAUGAUCAAUAAGGACAGGCGGGGGCAUUCGUAUUGCGACGUUAGAGGUGAAAUUCUUGGAUCGUCGCAAGACGCACUAAAGCGAAAGCAUUUGCCAAGUAUGUCUUAAUUGAUCAAGAACGAAAGUUAGAGUUUCGAAGGCGAUCAGAUACCGCCCUAGUUCUAACCAUAAACGAUGCCAGCCAGCGAUCCGCCGACGUUCCUCCGAUG
rnacentral:rRNA from 1 species